rnacentral:tRNA from 1 species
GCGAGCGUGGCGAAACUGGUAGACGCAGCAGACUUAAAAUCUGCCGACCUUGGUCUUGCGGGUUCGACCCCCGCCGCUCGCA